UAAACAACCCAACCCUGAAAAGCACUCCUGCCAUUACUCAUGCAAACAAGCUUAAGCAAAUCAAUAGGGAUUUGCAGGAUUGGUCUUCUGUCUUUGACCAGAGAAAAGCCACUCUGAGGGGACACUGUGGGAAGACUGACUAGAAACAAGACCUUCCCAUUUCAACUCAGUGACCUCAGCAGAGUCUGUCUCACCCCUUCAUGAACACAACCAGCAGAAGCACGGGACAGCUAACAAGAGGAAGGCUGGGUGCAUGGCAGUAACCACCUGCCAUCUUGGCUCUUGUUGGGAGCAUUAACAGCAGCCUUCAGACUCUUCAGCCUUGAGACUCUUCAGACUGUUGCCAACAAAUUAAGUGGUACUGACAGUUCAAGGGCCGCUCCAUAGUGAGGCAAGAGAUGAAGGGAAAGAAUCAAAUCAAGCAUAACAAUGACCAAGAGGAACGUUAUUUAAGAUGGCAAUGGAAAUAGGGAAUCAUUACAAGCACUUCUGGAAAUAUCUGAAGAAAAACAAGGAAAUUAUGCUGAUUGCUGUGGAAGAGGAGAAAAAAUGCUCAGGUCCUUGAAUAAAUACAUUUGA